GCUUGUUGGGGUGCUGGUCUGCUCCGUGUCCAAAGUUAUGUAUAGUCACUUUGGCACUCUCCAGGCCUGCACACUACAGCCUU
rnacentral:pre_miRNA from 1 species